AGUGCAAGACAGCGAAAUACUGCAACAUAAUAUCAAUAUAAAAUAUAGUAUUAGGUGUAUUAAAAAAAAACAUUUGUACGAAUAUUCAUUAAUUUCUGUAUUGUUACCAUGCGGUUUGUGGCGUACCACCGCCAUGUUGCCUACAGCGCACCGCAGUUGGAGAACCACUGAUGCAGGGCACGCGCGCUAAAUCCAUUAAAAUUCAAAUACUCGGGGUUGUUUUAUAUUAAUAUGAUA